rnacentral:misc_RNA from 1 species
CAGAAUACAAUAUACUAUAAAAAAUUGAAAUCCAAGAUGGCGGCCGCUACAAAAUGGCGGAUAACGUAGGUUUUAUCGAUCCCAUCAAUAUGGGUAUCAAAUGAAAGUGUUCAACCAGUAUAAUCAAUGUACUAUAUAAAAUUAAAAUCCAAGAUGGCGGCCUCUACAAAAUGGCGGAUAACUUAGGUUUUAUCAAUCCCAUCAACA